UGGGGAAUAUUGCACAAUGGAGGGAACUCUGAUGCAGCGACGCCGCGUGAGUGAUGAAGGACUUCGUUUCGUAAAACUCUGUUCUAUGGGAAGAAAAGGACUGUACCAUAGGAGAAAGCUCCGGCUAAAUACGUGCGAGCAGCCGCGGUAAUACGUAUGGAGCGAGCGUUGUCCGGAAUUAUUGGGCGUAAAGGGUGCGCAGGCGGCUUUACAAGUUGGAUGUGAAAUAUUGUGGCUCAACCACAAACGUGCAUCCAAAACUGCAAAGCUUGGGUUAAGGAGAGGUAAGUGGAAUUCCUGGUGUAGCGGUGGAAUGCGUAGAUAUCAGGAGGAAUACCGGUGGCGAAGGCGACUUACUGGACUAAAACUGACGCUCAGGCACGAAAGCGUGGGGAGCAAACAGG
rnacentral:rRNA from 1 species